CUGAAACCGUGUACGUACAAGCAGUGGGAGCACAGGUUUACCUGUGUGACUGCGUACCUUUUGUAUAAUGGGUCAGCGACUUAUAUUCUGUAGCAAGGUUAACCGAAUAGGGGAGCCGGAGGGAAACCGAGUCUUAAUUGGGCGUUAAGUUGCAGGGUAUAGACCCGAAACCCGGUGAUCUAGCCAUGGGCAGGUUGAAGGUUGGGUAACACUAACUGGAGGACCGAACCGACUAAUGUUGAAAAAUUAGCGGAUGACCUGUGGCUGGGGGUGAAAGGCCAAUCAAACCGGGAGAUAGCUGGUUCUCCCCGAAAGCUAUUUAGGUAGCGCCUCGUGAAUUCAUCUCCGGGGGUAGAGCACUGUUUCGGCUAGGGGGCCAUCCCGGCUUACCAACCCGAUGCAAACUGCGAAUACCGGAGAAUGUUAUCACGGGAGACACACGGCGGGUGCUAACGUCCGUCGUGAAGAGGGAAACAACCCAGACCGCCAGCUAAGGUCCCAAAGUCAUGGUUAAGUGGGAAACGAUGUGGGAAGGCCCAGACAGCCAGGAUGUUGGCUUAGAAGCAGCCAUCAUUUAAAGAAAGCGUAAUAGCUCACUGGUCGAGUCGGCCUGCGCGGAAGAUGUAACGGGGCUAAACCAU
rnacentral:rRNA from 2 species